GAGAGUUGGUACACACACACCCCGGGCCCUCUCCAUUUUUCUACAAAUUUACAGACAUUGUCUGUAAAUUUGUAGAAAAAUGGAGAGGGCCCGGGGGGGGGGUGUACCAACUUG